UCCCUGGUGGUCCAGUGGCUAAGACUCUGUGCUCCCAAUGCAGGGAGCCCAGGUUCAAUCCCUGGUCAGGGAA
rnacentral:tRNA from 1 species